UACGUAGGGUGCGAGCGUUAAUCGGAAUUACUGGGCGUAAAGCGUGCGCAGGCGGUUUUGUAAGCCAGAUGUGAAAUCCCCGGGCUUAACCUGGGAAUGGCAUUUGGGACUGCAAGGCUGGAGUGCGGCAGAGGAGACUGGAAUUCCUGGUGUAGCAGUGAAAUGCGUAGAUAUGCGGAGGAACACCGAUGGCGAAGGCAAUCCCCUGGACCUGUACUGACGCUCAUGCACGAACGCGUGGGGAGCAAACAGG
rnacentral:rRNA from 1 species